rnacentral:lncRNA from 1 species
GGGAACAACUCUCUUUCACACAGAAACAUACUCCGACCAUACAUACUGAUAUAUAACAUCCCGCCCACAAAGCAAAAAUUUACUAAAUUUUUACAAUGGUCAAUAUGUUUAUGUGUUAAAAAAAUACAAUUAAUAAUCAUUUCCAAAUUAAAAGUUUUCAUGAACAAAGUUAAUCUCUCGACACUCUAACUAGUAACCAUUUAAAAGCAAACGUAUCAACGCUGCAAAACCGAAAGUCUGGCAUCUCGGACUCCUCCCUCGGAUGACCUUAUGCACGCAUUACUUCCACAACAAUUACAGUGAUACACACAUAUUAAUGGCAUUUCCUACUAGACAAACUGAUAUCAUUAUAAAUAGCUG